rnacentral:snoRNA from 1 species
AUCCAAUGAUGUGGACACUUCCAUAGUUGGUUUUUAAACCUAUUCCAGGCUUCAUUAAAGGUCUUUGAGUCACCUUGAUGGAAAAUAGAUAUGUCAUGCUUUAGCUU